AGACGGGGGCAGCCCUGGGCUGGGGGGCUGGGGACCCCCGUGUCCCUCCCCCAGCCCCACAGGGGCCAAUCCUGCUUAAACCUUUGCUCUCCUUGCCCAGGCACUCUUGGCAGGAACCCAAAAUGAUCUGCGGGAGGUGAGUGGGCCGGGGGGACUGGAGGGCAUCCAGUCUGGGAACUGGGGGACACUUUGGUCCCCCCAUCCCUCGCUGGCACCGGGGACAUCCCAGUGACCAGCCAGGGCUCCUGGUCUCUCUCCAGCUGCAUUUAGUGGACGUUGGGAUCCUGAAGAUGGCUCAGCCCCCUGUGGUGGAGAAGGUGGUGGGUCCUGUUGGUGAGAAAGGCGUGGCUGCAUCCCUGGAUGGCUGAGGACUGGAAGUGGUGGUGACACCCGUGCCCUGUCCCCCUCCAGUGGCAUGAGGAGAUGAUCAUCCCCGGAAGAACCCCCUGAUUUCCCUCAGAGCCCAGGGGCAUUUCCCCAGAAUGAUCAAUAAAUCCCUUCAGCAAAGCUA